CAGUAGCCACGGUAAUACAGAGGGUGCGAGCGUUAAUCGGAUUUACUGGGCGUAAAGCGUGCGUAGGCGGCUUUUUAAGUCGGAUGUGAAAUCCCUGAGCUUAACUUAGGAAUUGCAUUCGAUACUGGGAAGCUAGAGUAUGGGAGAGGAUGGUAGAAUUCCAGGUGUAGCGGUGAAAUGCGUAGAGAUCUGGAGGAAUACCGAUGGCGAAGGCAGCCAUCUGGCCUAAUACUGACGCUGAGGUACGAAAGCAUGGGGAGCAAACAGGAUUAGAUACCCGUGUAGUCCCUGUCUCUUAUAC
rnacentral:rRNA from 1 species